rnacentral:rRNA from 1 species
GGUUUCAUGCCAAGCUAUAAUUGUUGGACCAAGCAUGGAGAAAGAGGGGUUAUAAUGGAAGAAGAUGAAGAAGGGGAUGAUUUCAUCGAUGAAAGCUAUCUUGCUCAUGUCGGUGAUACUUUCAUGGAGGAUGCUGAAGGUGAAGGGGAAGGUGAAGGGGAAGGUGAAGGGGAAGGUGAAGGUGAAGGUGAAGAAGAGGCACGUGAUGAGACCGUUGAUGAUCUUGGUCGGACCAUUGCUGAUGCACGGAGACGCUGCGAAACUGAAAAGGAGAGGGAGAAUUUGGAUCGCAUGUUAGAGGAUCACAGAAAGUCGUUGUACCCCGGAUGCGAUGAUGGUCUGAAAAAGCUGGGCUGCACACUGGAUUUGCUGAAAUGGAAGGCACAGGCAGGUGUAGCUGACUCGGCAUUUGAAAACUUGCUGAAAAUGUUGAAG